rnacentral:rRNA from 1 species
GGGGAAUAUUGCACAAUGGGGGAAACCCUGAUGCAGCGACGCCGCGUGAGUGAAGAAGUAUCUCGGUAUGUAAAGCUCUAUCAGCAGGGAAGAAAAUGACGGUACCUGACUAAGAAGCCCCGGCUAACUACGUGCCAGCAGCCGCGGUAAUACGUAGGGGGCAAGCGUUAUCCGGAAUUACUGGGUGUAAAGGGUGCGUAGGUGGUAUGGCAAGUCAGAAGUGAAAACCCAGGGCUUAACUCUGGGACUGCUUUUGAAACUGUCAGACUGGAGUGCAGGAGAGGUAAGCGGAAUUCCUAGUGUAGCGGUGAAAUGCGUAGAUAUUAGGAGGAACAUCAGUGGCGAAGGCGGCUUACUGGACUGAAACUGACACUGAGGCACGAAAGCGUGGGGAGCAAAC